rnacentral:sRNA from 1 species
GCUGGGCACCGGCGCAGGUUCGCUUUCCGGCGGUUGCACCGGGCCGGGGUGCCAGCGCCCGCCUUCCCGUUUCCUCCCGUUCCGCAGCGCGCCCACGGCCUGUGACCCCGGCGACCGCUCCCCAGUGACGAGAGAGCUGGGCCGGGCGCUGCUCCGGCCUGACCUGCGAAGGGACCUCGGUCCAGUCCCCUGUUGCGCCGCGUCCCCUGUCCGUCCGUGCGCGGGCCAGUCAGGGGCCAGUGUCUCGAGCGGUCGAGGUCGCAGACCUAGAGGCGCCCCACAGGCCGGCCCGGGGCGCUGGGAGCGCCGGCCGCGGGCCGGGUGGGGAUGCCUCUGCACGUGAAGUGGCCGUUCCCCGCGGUGCCGCCGCUCACCUGGACCCUGGCCAGCAGCGUCGUCAUGGGCUUGGUGGGCACCUACAGCUGCUUCUGGACCAAGUACAUGAACCACCUGACCGUGCACAACAAGGAGGUGCUGUACGAGCUCAUCGAGAACCGAGGCCCGGCCACGCCCCUCAUCACCGUGUCCAAUCACCAGUCCUGCAUGGACGACCCUCAUCUCUGGGGGAUCCUGAAACUCCGCCACAUCUGGAACCUGAAGUUGAUGCGUUGGUGAGGAGGAAUGGGCCCCUCGAAGUGGGCCGGGCCGGCCCCACCUGCCUCUGCCCAGAUUUGCCCUCCUCCUGCUCUGCCCAGGAGGACCCCUGCAGCUGCAGACAUCUGCUUCACCAAGGAGCUACACUCCCACUUCUUCAGCUUGGGCAAGUGUGUGCCUGUGUGCCGAGGAGAUGGCGUCUACCAGAAGGGGAUGGACUUCAUUUUGGAGAAGCUCAACCAUGGGGACUGGGUGCAUAUCUUCCCAGAAGGUCAGCAGGGCUGACUGGGUCGAGCCCCCCCAGUAUGAGCGGGAUGGGCUCCCAAGCUUCGCCUCUGUGCUCUCUCACCAGGGAAAGUGAACAUGAGUUCCGAAUUCCUGCGUUUCAAGUGGGGUAAGGGCUGCUGGUCUCUGGCCACAGCCAUCCUCCCGGCCCAGAGAUGGCCCUGUGGGCCCCUGGCUCCCGCCCCCUCGGGCUGGGUUGUAUGGGGGUAGAUGGGCGUGUUGUAGCGCCAGGAAGGGGACAGGUGCUGAGACUAGGCCUGCCUCUCGCAGGGGCUUGCCCAAGGGAGCUGAAUUGAACUGGAGGAUGUCGGGGGUGGCAGUGGCCAGAGGCUGGCACAGAAGCUUGGCUCAGGGCCCAGCUUAUGCUAACAUUUCUACCUCCCCACUGGGCAGGAAUCGGGCGCCUGAUUGCUGAGUGUCAUCUCAACCCCAUCAUCCUGCCC